UGCGUAGGGUGCGAGCGUUAAUCGGAAUUACUGGGCGUAAAGCGUGCGCAGGCGGUUUUGUAAGCCAGAUGUGAAAUCCCCGGGCUUAACCUGGGAAUGGCAUUUGGGACUGCAAGGCUGGAGUUUGGCAGAGGAGACUGGAAUUCCUGGUGUAGCAGUGAAAUGCGUAGAUAUCAGGAGGAAUACCGAUGGCGAAGGCAGGUCUCUGGGCCGAUACUGACGCUGAGGAGCGAAAGCGUGGGGAGCGAACAGG
rnacentral:rRNA from 1 species